rnacentral:lncRNA from 1 species
CUCUGUUCUUGAACAGUUUAACACACUACGUCUGUGUUACAGCUGUCAUCCGACACUAUGGAGGUAUAAGGAAAUGGGAGUGAUGAUAGUGGAACCAGAACAGGCUUGACUGCUGCUCUGGGGGGUUUUAGAUGCUGAACUGAUGCUGGUGGUAAGGUGCUGGGGGCACAGACAGAGGCAGUGAGAAGAUUCAUGUUUAGCGGCCAAAGUGAAAAAGUGGACUGCUGGUUUAAGCACCCGACCCAGGUCCCUGCCUUCAGGGCUUCGACAUCAGUGCUGACAAAAAGCCAUGAAAAGCACUGAGAAAUGUUUCAUCGGUCACGACACAUUAUGCAGCCGGACCCAGGUCAUCACUGCUUUAACAACUGUGCUAAAGAAUAAGCGCUUGGCAGAUGGGAGAGACUGUGGCUUGGAUCACUGUAGUGAAACCAGACCUGACAUCCAUUUCCUUGGCCAGUGGAAUCAGUGUUACCAUCUAAAUAUCCAGGAUCUGCUAAGAGCUGUGAGGUCACUGCAGAGGUGGGACUUCUCUGACCUCCUCAAUGUGUGUUUCAUUUAUACAUAAUAAAGUUGAAUUGCUUUGACUGGUGCCCCUCUCUUUUUCUGCUCAGGUCUUUUGCAACACACUCAGUCGUCACAUCCCUGUGUCCGGUGUGUCCUCUGUCAGACUGUUUUCCACUCCCACUGACCUUUCAUUCUGCUCACACAUCUGUCCUCUCAGUGGACAGGCCUUUGCAUGGUGGUGCUUCUCAUGUUCAACGUGAUCAAUACAAAGAGCAGGGAGUUCGCACACAAUCUCCCACUGACUAAACGAGAAGGAUUAAAGGCUGCAGAUGCCGCCAGGUGGGUGUGGGUGUUCUUUAUGUCUUUGUUGUCUAAAAUAUAUGUGCGUAAAAGCCAAAAAUCACUGUGAGCACACUCAGACACACAUUUUCUGUUUUAUAAGCCAUGAAGAGGAAAAGAGGCCAGAAAGGAAU